ACAAAAUAAUUUCUUCUUCAUAUCUUUCCAGCUUCAAUUAAUGUCAGUUUUGUUCUUCUCUUCUUGUAAGCUUUUCCUUAACAAAAAGGCCAAUUGGUUCGGAUGCUACAAUUUCUGCAAAUGUUGGAAGAACAGUUCUUUAUAGUAAGCAGAUAAGUGAAUGGCCACUCUGCCGAGAGAUUUUGAUUACUCCUCUAACCAAUUAGAAGAGGGCAAGAUCCAUGACAUACUCCAACAGUGGCAGGAUGGCAUAUUCUUGUUUCAAUUGGGCCGUGACAACUGACAAUUACAAUGAACUUGCCACUAGAGAAGCUACAUAUAUUCACGAGUAUGGUGGCUUCUUUGAAGUUUUUCGAAUUUCUACAUUUUGGUAAGAUAUGUUUCUUGUGAAUAAGUUGGUUAGAUUUCUUGACAUUUAUUGUGGAGGAUGCUAACCAAAGUUAGCUACACAGGUUUCUUCCAUGCCCUAUGUAUAUACUAAACAAGGGAUCUUUUUACUAAACAGAAUCCCUAACAGUUCAUCCACCUAUCAAAUCUUAUCUGUUAUCAUGGCCUCACCUAGAGGCUAGAGCCCUUUGUUCCAGUGACUUCAACACUUCAAUGCUAGCUAAGGUCCUGAAGUUGACAAAUUUGCUAGAAUCUCGGGUAAAUGUAAACUAGACUAGCUGAAAGAGUUGGAUACUCUUUAGUGUCAUUCUGCUCUUCAAUUCCUUAGGCUGGUAUCUUGCAGGACAUUAAAAGCUAAUUGCAUCUGGAUGUGAAGUGUGGUUGUCAGUGGAGAAAUCAUUGCUACCUAAAUAAAUGACUCAAAUCUGGAAAAUUGGUGACCUAAUCUGCUGCAACAAUAGAAUUUGUUCUCUAAAUCCCAACUUAGAUAUUAACGCCUCAUAUUUGUAAUGGUAUGUACGCGGCCUGACAUUUCUCAGGCUAUUAGCAUGGUUAGUUGUUAUUUGCAUGAUCUAAGGAAGGAUCAUUUGCAAGCUGCUAUAUGGAUCUUGAGAUGACUUGGGUUUGAAGUUUGAGAGAGAUGAAUCUUUUAGAAGACACAUUGAUUCAGACUAUGUCAAGGAUCUAGAUAAGCACCAUUCUACUAUGAGCUACUUACAUUUGCUAAAGCAUUGGUGAGUUGGAGGUUGAUACUGCAGUAGGCUAUUGCAUUGGCAACCACUACAGCUGAAUACAUGGGUUUGAUUGUAGUCAUCAAGGGGGCUCUUUGGCUACAUGGUUUGAUUGAAAACUUGAACAUUCAUCAUAAGCACAUAUGUGUAUUUUGUGACAGUCGAGUUCCAUUCAUUUAGAAAAAAACCAAGUCGAAAUGGUAUUUGAUUGAUACCCAACUAUUGUUGUAAAUAAUGUCGAAAUGGUAUUUGAUUGAUACCCAAACACAUUAUUUCCUUAACCAAACCGAAACGGUCAUCGUACGAAAUUGACAA